CAGAGAGAAGAUCUGGUUGAUAGGCCGGGUGUGUAAAGACAGUAAUGUCAAAGCUUACCGGUACUAAUAGGUCGAGGGCUUGACCUU
rnacentral:rRNA from 1 species